AAGACUAUACUUUCAGGGGUCAUUUCUAUAGUUUGUUACUAGAGAGGUUUCUCUGAUAGUGUAGAGCACCCAACACCACGAGGAAGAGAUACAGUGUUCUCUAAAAAAAAUACAACUGAUUUCUGGAUAUCUAUUUUGCAUCCUGCUACUUUACUGAAUUCAUAUAUCUGUUAUAGUAGUUUUUUUUUCUUUGUUUAUUUUAGAGAGAAAGGAGGAAAGAGGG